GCGCAGCAGCGAGAAUCCUCCGCAAUACACGAAAGUGUGACGGGGCCAUCCCGAGUGCCGUCCGCUGAGGACGGCUUUUCCCCAAGUGUACACAGCUGGGGGAAUAAGGAGAGGGCAAGCCUGGUGUCAGCCGCCGCGGUAAUACCAGCUCUCCGAGUGGUGGGGACGCUUAUUGGGCCUAAAGCAUCCGUAGCCGGCUGGGCAAGUCCUCCGUUAAAUCCAACGAUUCAAUCGUUGGGCUGCGGGGGAUACUGUCCAGCUUGGGGGCGGGAGAGGCCGACGGUAUUCCCGGGGUAGGGGUGAAAAUCCUA
rnacentral:rRNA from 1 species